rnacentral:rRNA from 1 species
CAGUCGCCGCGGUAAUACGGAGGGGGCUAGCGUUGUUCGGAAUUACUGGGCGUAAAGCGCACGUAGGCUGCUUUGUAAGUCAGAGGUGAAAGCCCGUGGCUCAACCCCGGAUGUGCCUUUGAGACUGCAGAGCUAGAAUCGCGGAGAGGCGAGUGGAAUUCCGAGUGUAGAGGUGAAAUUCGUAGAUAUUCGGAAGAACACCAGUGGCGAAGGCGGCUCACUGGACGCGUAUUGACGCUGAGGUGCGAAAGCGUGGGGAGCAAACAGGAUUAGAUACCCCAGUAGUCCCUGUCUCUUAUAC